UUUUAUGGAGAGUUUGAUCCUGGCUCAGGAUGAACGCUGGCGGCGUGCCUAAUACAUGCAAGUCGAGCGAACGGACGAGAAGCUUGCUUCUCUGAUGUUAGCGGCGGACGGGUGAGUAACACGUGGAUAACCUACCUAUAAGACUGGGAUAACUUCGGGAAACCGGAGCUAAUACCGGAUAAUAUUUUGAACCGCAUGGUUCAAAAGUAAAAGACGGUCUUGCUGUCACUUAUAGAUGGAUCCGCGCUGCAUUAGCUAGUUGGUAAGGUAACGGCUUACCAAGGCAACGAUGCAUAGCCGACCUGAGAGGGUGAUCGGCCACACUGGAACUGAGACACGGUCCAGACUCCUACGGGAGGCAGCAGUAGGGAAUCUUCCGCAAUGGGCGAAAGCCUGACGGAGCAACGCCGCGUGAGUGAUGAAGGUCUUCGGAUCGUAAAACUCUGUUAUUAGGGAAGAACAUAUGUGUAAGUAACUGUGCACAUCUUGACGGUACCUAAUCAGAAAGC
rnacentral:rRNA from 1 species